AACGAACGCUGGCGGCGUGCUUAACACAUGCAAGUCGCACGAAGUGGCGAACGGGUGAGUAAUACGUGGGUAACCUGCCCUCCUUUUUGGGAUAAGCCUUGGAAACGGGGUCUAAUACCGAAUAACGCGGGAUGGGCUCGCGGCCUAUCAGCUUGUUGGUGGGGUGCUGGCCUACCACGGAGGUGACGGGUCGCCGGCCUGAUAGGGUGACCGGCCACAUGGGGACGGAGAGACGGCCAAGACUGCUACGGGAGGCAGCAGUGGGGGAUAUGGCGCAAUGGGGGAAAGCCUGAUGCAGGGACGCCGCGUGGGGGAUGAAGGCGUUCGGGUUGUAAACCUCUUUCGAUAGCGAACGGGUAGGUGGAGAAAAAGCGCCGGCUAACUACGUGCCAGCAGCCGCGGUAAUAC
rnacentral:rRNA from 1 species